rnacentral:rRNA from 1 species
UCGCAAAAGAAAAAAAAAGGAGGUCUGUUCGACCUUUAAACAAUUACAUGAUUUGAGUUCAGACCGGUAUAAGCCAGGUCGGUUUCAAUCUUCUCAAUUUAUUAUACAGUACGAAAGGACCUAUAAUUAUAAUAAUAUUAUAAUAUUGGCAGAUAAAUGCAUUAGAAUUAGAAUCUAAUUAAUCAUGAUUAUUAAUAUUAUAAUAACAUUAAACCUUCUAAUA